AAUCAACGCUGGCGGCGUGCCUCAGACAUGCAAGUCGAACGAUUAAAGCUCUCUUCGGAGAGUGUAUAGAGUGGCGCACGGGUGAGUAACACGUAAGUAAUCUACCCUCGAGUGGGGAAUAACAACCGGAAACGGUUGCUAAUACCGCAUAAUGCAGCGGCACCGCAAGGUGACAGUUGUUAAAGAUUUAUCGCUUGAGGAGGAGCUUGCGGCAGAUUAGCUAGUUGGUAGGGUAACGGCUUACCAAGGCUACGAUCUGUAACCGGUCUAAGAGGACGGUCGGUCACACUGACACUGAAUAACGGGUCAGACUCCUACGGAGGCAGCAGUCGGGAAUUUUGGGCAAUGGGCGAAAGCCUGACCCAGCAACGCCGCGUGAAGGAUGAAGUAUUCGGUAUGUAAACUUCGAAAGAAUAGGAAGAAUUAAUGACGGUACUAUUUAUAAGGUCCGGCUAACUACGUGCCAGCAGCCGCGGU
rnacentral:rRNA from 1 species